GUAGGUGGCAAGCGUUGUCCGGAAUUAUUGGGCGUAAAGCGCGCGCAGGCGGUCCUUUAAGUCUGAUGUGAAAGCCCACGGCUCAACCGUGGAGGGUCAUUGGAAACUGGGGGACUUGAGUACAGAAGAGGAAAGCGGAAUUCCAAGUGUAGCGGUGAAAUGCGUAGAGAUUUGGAGGAACACCAGUGGCGAAGGCGGCUUUCUGGUCUGUAACUGACGCUGAGGCGCGAAAGCGUGGGGAGCAAACAGGAUUAGAUACCCUGGUAGUCCACGCCGUAAACGAUGAGUGCUAAGUGUUAGGGGGGUUUCCGCCCCUUAGUGCUGCAGCUAACGCAUUAAGCACUCCGCCUGGGGAGUACGGCCGCAAGGCUG
rnacentral:rRNA from 1 species